rnacentral:rRNA from 1 species
GAUCAUGGCUCAGGAUGAACGCUAGCGACAGGCUUAACACAUGCAAGUCGAGGGGCAUCAUGAGGUAGCAAUACCUUGAUGGCGACCGGCGCACGGGUGAGUAACGCGUAUGCAACCUGCCUGAUACCGGGGUAUAGCCCAUGGAAACGUGGAUUAACACCCAUAGUACUUUAUCCUGCAUGGGAUGUGUAGUUAAAUGUUUAAGGUAUCGGAUGGGCAUGCGUCUUAG